GGAUUGUGGCUCAGUGGUAGAGCACUCGCCUGGCAUGUAUGAAGCACUGGGUUUGAUCCUCAGCACCA
rnacentral:tRNA from 1 species